GGUCAAGUUAUUAAGGGUGCAGGGCGGAUGCCUUGGCACUAGGAGCCGAUGAAGGACGUGAUAAGCUGCGAUAAGCUUCGGGGAGUUGCACGUAAACUUUGAUCCGAAGAUUUCCGAAUGAGGAAACUCACUUAGAGUAAUGUCUAAGUAUCAUUAAGUGAAUACAUAGCUUAAUGAGGGGAACUCAGGGAACUGAAACAUCUAAGUACCUGAAGGAAGAGAAAGAAAUUCGAUUCCGUAAGUAGCGGCGAGCGAACGCGGAUUAGCCCAAACCAAUAAAGUUUUCUUUAUUGGGGUUGCGGACAUAUCAUAACGAAGAGGUAUCGUAAUUGAAGAGGUUUGGAAAGACCCACCACAGAAGGUAAUAGUCCUGUAUGUUAAACGAGAAGACUUCAGAUAUGAUCCAGAGUACCACGGGACACGUGAAACCCUGUGGGAAGCAGGAGGGACCACCCUCCAAGGCUAAAUACUACCUAGUGACCGAUAGCGUAUAGUACCGUGAGGGAAAGGUGAAAAGAACCCCGGGAGGGGAGUGAAAUAGAACCUGAAACCCUGCACUUACAAGCUGUGGAAGCACAUUUCUUGUGUGACCGCGUACUUUUUGUAGAACGGGCCAACGAGUUACGUUAAGUAGCAAGGUUAAGCACUUAAGGUGCGGAGCCGUAGCGAAAGCGAGUUUUAACUGAGCGUUCAGUUACUUGACGUAGACCCGAAACCGGGCGACCUACCCAUGAGCAGGAUGAAGCGAAAGUAAAAUUUCGUGGAGGUCCGAACCCACGAGCGUUGAAAAGCUCGGGGAUGACUUGUGGGUAGCGGUGAAAUUCCAAUCGAGCCCGGAGAUAGCUGGUUCUCCCCGAAAUAGCUUUAGGGCUAGCCUCAAGGUGAGAGAUACGGAGGUAGAGCACUGAAUGUCCUAGGGGGUAUUGCACCUACCGAAGACUAUCAAACUCCGAAUGCCGUCAUCUUAUACUUGGGAGUCAGACUGUGGGUGAUAAGAUUCAUAGUCGAAAGGGCAACAGCCCAGAUCGUCAGCUAAGGUCCCUAAAUGUAAGUUAAGUGGUAAAGGAUGUGGGAUUGCACAGACAACCAGGAUGUUGGCUUAGAAGCAGCCACUCAUUCAAAGAGUGCGUAAUAGCUCACUGGUCGAGUGAUCCUGCGCCGAAGAUUUCCGGGGCUAAAACUUACUACCGAAGCUACGGCAUCAGUAAUGAUGGGUAGGGGAGCUUCCCAUACGGGUUGAAGCAUGACCGUAAGGACAUGUGGACAGUAUGGGAGUGAGAAUGUUGGCAUGAGUAGCGAGAUGUGGGUGAGAAUCCCACAGGCCGUAAACCCAAGGUUUCCAGGGGAAGGUUCGUCCGCCCUGGGUUAGUCGGGACCUAAGCUGAGGCCGAAAGGCGUAGGUGAUGGACAACAGGUUGAUAUUCCUGUACUACCGAUAACCGUUUGAGAGAAGGGAUGACACAGUAGGAUAAGCUAAGCACACUGUUGGUUAUGUGUGCCCAAGCAUUGAGGCAGUCAAAGUAGGCAAAUCCGCUUUGAUAAUGCUGGGAUGUGAUGGGGAGCGAAAUUUAGUAGCGAAGUAGCUGAUUUCACACUGUCAAGAAAAGUCUCUAUCGAGGUUAAAGGUACCCGUACCGCAAACCGACACAGGUGGGUGAGGAGAGUAUCCUAAGGCCAGCGAGAGAACUGUUGUUAAGGAACUCGGCAAAAUGACCCCGUAACUUAGGGAUAAGGGGUGCCACCAUCAGGUGGCCGCAGAGAAUAGGCCCAAGCGACUGUUUACCAAAAACAUAGGUUUCUGCUAAGUCGCAAGACGAUGUAUAGGAGCUGACGCCUGCCCGGUGCUGGAAGGUUAAGGGGAUCUGUUAGAGCAAUCGAAGCAGUGAACUUAAGCCCCAGUAAACGGCGGCCGUAACUAUAACGGUCCUAAGGUAGCGAAAUUCCUUGUCGGGUAAGUUCCGACCCGCACGAAAGGCGUAACGAUUUGGGCACUGUCUCAACAACAGACUCGGUGAAAUUGUAAUUCCGGUGAAGAUGCCGGAUACCUGCGACAGGACGGAAAGACCCCAUGGAGCUUUACUGUAGCUUGACAUUGGGUCUUGGUACUACAUGUACAGGAUAGGUGGGAGGCUUUGAAACCAGGACGCCAGUUUUGGCGGAGCCAUCCUUGGGAUACCACCCUUGUAGUACUGGGACUCUAACCAUAGGCCAUGAAUCUGGUCUUGGGACACUGUCAGGUGGGCAGUUUGACUGGGGCGGUCGCCUCCCAAAAGGUAACGGAGGCGCUCAAAGGUUCUCUCAGUACGGUCGGAAAUCGUACGUAGAGUGUAAAGGCAAAAGAGAGCUUGAUUGCAAGACAUACAGGUCGAGCAAGGAUGAAAAUCGGACUUAGUGAUCCGGUGGUUCUGCGUGGAAGGGCCAUCGCUCAACGGAUAAAAGCUACCCUGGGGAUAACAGGCUUAUCUCCCCCAAGAGUCCACAUCGACGGGGAGGUUUGGCACCUCGAUGUCGGCUCAUCACAUCCUGGGGCUGUAGUAGGUCCCAAGGGUUGGGCUGUUCGCCCAUUAAAGUGGUACGCGAGCUGGGUUCAGAACGUCGUGAGACAGUUCGGUCCCUAUCCGUCGCAGGCGUAGGAAAUUUGAGAAGACCUGUCCUUAGUACGAGAGGACCGGGAUGGACGUACCUCUGGUGUACCAGUUGUCCUGCCAAGGGCAUGGCUGGGUAGCUAUGUACGGAAUGGAUAAGCGCUGAAAGCAUCUAAGCGCGAAGCCAACUUCAAGAUAAGAUUUCCCACCGCAAGGGUAAGACCCCAGAAAGACUAUCUGGUUGAUAGGUCGAAGGUGUAAGUGCAGCAAUGUAUUUAGCUUAUCGAUACUAAUAGGUCGAGGACUUGACCAAUAUUUAUUUGAUGUUCAUUGAUUAAGAUAUAUGUGUAGUUUUUAGAGUGCUAACU
rnacentral:rRNA from 1 species